AUACGGAGGAUCCGAGCGUUAUCCGGAUUUAUUGGGUUUAAAGGGAGCGUAGGCGGACGCUUAAGUCAGUUGUGAAAGUUUGCGGCUCAACCGUAAAAUUGCAGUUGAUACUGGGUGUCUUGAGUACAGUAGAGGCAGGCGGAAUUCGUGGUGUAGCGGAGAAAUGCUUAGAUAUCACGAAGAACUCCGAUUGCGAAGGCAGCCUGCUGGACUGUAACUGACGCUGAUGCUCGAAAGUGUGGGUAUCAAACAGGAUUAGAUACCCUGGUAGUCCACACAGUAAACGAUGAAUACUCGCUGUUUGCGAUAUACAGUAAGCGGCCAAGCGAAAGCGUUAAGUAUUCCACCUGGGGAGUACGCCGGCAACGGUGAAACUCAAAUGAAUUGACGGGG
rnacentral:rRNA from 1 species